CAUUGAAACACCCGUUCCCAUAUGAUCACAAGUUAAGCAAUGCUGAACCUGGUCAGUGCUUAAAUGGGUGACCGCUUGGGAAAACAUGGA